rnacentral:tRNA from 1 species
UCCCUGAUGGCUCGAUGGUAAGGCAUCGGUCUGCAAUGCAGGAGACCCAGGUUCGAUCCCUGGGUUGGAGAG